AAAAAAGCAUUGAUUGGAAAAAGUAACAAUCAGGAAAUCCAACAGAAAGUUGCCGGUUGAUGAGAGGCAUAGGAAGAACUUUUUGCGAAUACGUCCAGGAGCUUCACACCGAACAGAGGAAAUGAUUUUACUAAGUAGGCUGUGACGGAAUUGCAACCGUUAUGAUGCAAAAGUGCUGAUUGGCACUUAAUGAGACAGAUUAUGUGAGUAAUCUGUAAACAAAGGUGGUACCACGUAAGUUUUAGCUUUCGUCCUUUUU
rnacentral:ncRNA from 1 species